AGUGAACGCUGGCGGUAGGCCUAACACAUGCAAGUCGAACGGCAGCACAGUAAGAGCUUGCUCUUACGGGUGGCGAGUGGCGGACGGGUGAGGAAUACAUCGGAAUCUACUUUUUCGUGGGGGAUAACGUAGGGAAACUUACGCUAAUACCGCAUACGACCUACGGGUGAAAGCAGGGGAUCUUCGGACCUUGCGCGAUUGAAUGAGCCGAUGUCGGAUUAGCUAGUUGGCGGGGUAAAGGCCCACCAAGGCGACGAUCCGUAGCUGGUCUGAGAGGAUGAUCAGCCACACUGGAACUGAGACACGGUCCAGACUCCUACGGGAGGCAGCAGUGGGGAAUAGUGGACAAUGGGCGCAAGCAUGAUCCAGCCAUACCGCGUGGGUGAAGAAGGCCUUCGGGCUGUAAAGCCCUUUUGUUGGGAAAGAAAAGCAGCAGGUUAAUACCCCGCUGUUCUGACGGUACCCAAAGAAUAAGCACCGGCUAACUUCGU
rnacentral:rRNA from 1 species